rnacentral:lncRNA from 1 species
AUGUAUUCUUUCCCCCUGUCCCAACAGGAAAACAUGUUUCCAAAUCAUCAAAGCCAAGAGUUUAGGAGCUACACAAUUUUCCCCUGCUUCAUCUUUGUAGAGGGGCUAAGAGGUCCUGCGUGUGACUGUAGGGUCUUGUUCUUGGUUGAACUUGACCGUUACAUUCAAUCCGUUUCAGACCUCUGUGGAACCUCUGGCAGGUACCAGAGCUGGAUCCCCAGCUACUUCUCCAUCUCCACAUCAGCUCCACUCUGAGAACAUGUGGUAUCUUCCAGGACUUUUUCAUGGUGCAUAGGAGUUAAGCAUGCCUUAAGAGCUUUAUGUAAAGUUCUCAUUCUGCCUAAAGACUCCAAAAGAGAGCAGGGGGGGUGUUCUCGCAGGUAUGUCCUCUUCAAGGUAAACCUGUUCAGACAGUUCUUGAUCCAGGACUCAGUGCCAGGUAGUACAUCUCUCCAUCCCCCCUCUCAGUGUUUCUUAUUUUGUGGGGUGGAUACUUACGUUUACAUGGCAGGUGUAAUGCAAACCUUAUGUUCCCAGCUGGUGCCAAAAAUAUUUUUGAUGUUCCUUGGUAUUUUUCCAUUUAAAAAUUGACCUAGCUUGGUGAGGUAUUUAGGAUAGACGAGCUUCAGUCACAGUUCAUAAAGCAGAACUACUACCCACAAGAAGCUACAAAAACAUUUGACCGAGGCCAAUGGAAAGCUUGAUGCAAACAAGAGAAAUAGAUAUAUAUAUACUUUGGCAGGUGAACAAGUGUCUGGGGUCAGCAUUACAGUAUAAAAGUUGUUGCCGGUGCUUUUUUAUUUUCUCAAGUCAUUGGCGAUUCCAGAGAUGCCCAGUUGGUAUAAAGGCACAAUGAACCCCAUGAGAUUUUUCACAUUGUCGGCCCAGUUUUAAAAUGUGCUUAACUGAGUAGUUAAUGUAGGGUGAGUUCCUAGGACUGCAUUAGGCCAAUCAGUCUAAUUAGGUUGCAUACCCACUGGGCAUGGGCUGUGAAUGCUUUACUAAGUUUUUCUUUAAGACUUAGCACAUUUUUGUCUCAAUCAAUUUCUUUUGCACUAAAUCUCACCAAGUGGUAUGCAAAUCAUCUAUUAAAUACUGUAAAAAAAUAAAAGCACAUGAUUUAUGGUACUAAUACUUUCACUUAAUUUGAAAGCUGGCCUCUAAUUUUAUGAAAGUGCUUUGGUACUGUUACAUCAUUUUUUCCCAGCACAGUAAAGGGAAAAAAAAUCUGGUGAUGCAUGUGUUAGAUAAAUGUUAGGCUGCUGGACUCCUGGAGGAUUCUAUAAUUCUAUGUCUAUAUAAAGGGAUUUUUAAAAAUUAUUCUGCGUUAUUCCCACCCAACAUUUCUAGACAGAUUUAUUAGUUGUUCAGUUAUGUAAACAGUAGCUCAAGAUAGCUUUGGAGUUUCCAUUUUUUCAGUAGGCUCAGCUGAUAUUAUCGCUGGUCUGGGAAAACAUUACUUUUUACUUCACUGGUAACUAACUUUAACAACUUUAUAAGAACUAGGGGUUCUCAUCAUGGCUCAGUGGUUAACGAACCCAACUAGGAUCCAUGAGGAUGAGGGUUAGUAUCCCUGGCCUUGCUCACUGGGUUAAGGAUCCGGCAUUGCCGUGAGCUGUGGCGUAGGUCGAAAACAUGGCUUGGAUCCCGAGUUGCUGUGGCUGUGGUCUAGGCUGGCAGCUGUAGCUCUGAUUCAACCCCUAGCCUGGGAACCUACAUAUGCUUCGGAUGGCAGCCCUUAAAAAAAAACAACAAAAAAAAAAUAACUUUAUAAGAACUCACCUUUUUCUAANCCCACUGGGCAUGGGCUGUGAAUGCUUUACUAAGUUUUUCUUUAAGACUUAGCACAUUUUUGUCUCAAUCAAUUUCUUUUGCACUAAAUCUCACCAAGUGGUAUGCAAAUCAUCUAUUAAAUACUGUAAAAAAAUAAAAGCACAUGAUUUAUGGUACUAAUACUUUCACUUAAUUUGAAAGCUGGCCUCUAAUUUUAUGAAAGUGCUUUGGUACUGUUACAUCAUUUUUUCCCAGCACAGUAAAGGGAAAAAAAAUCUGGUGAUGCAUGUGUUAGAUAAAUGUUAGGCUGCUGGACUCCUGGAGGAUUCUAUAAUUCUAUGUCUAUAUAAAGGGAUUUUUAAAAAUUAUUCUGCGUUAUUCCCACCCAACAUUUCUAGACAGAUUUAUUAGUUGUUCAGUUAUGUAAAC